UACAGAGGUCCCAAGCGUUGUUCGGAUUCAUUGGGCGUAAAGGGUGCGUAGGUGGCGCUGUAAGUCGGGUGUGAAAUUUCGGAGCUUAACUCCGAAACUGCAUUUGAUACUGGCGUGCUUGAGGACUGGAGAGGAGACUGGAAUUCAUGGUGUAGCAGUGAAAUGCGUAGAGAUCAUGAGGAAGACCAGUGGCGAAGGCGGGUCUCUGGACAGUUCCUGACACUGAGGCACGAAGGCCAGGGGAGCAAACGGG
rnacentral:rRNA from 1 species